rnacentral:misc_RNA from 1 species
GAUGAAGAACGUAGUGAAAUGCGAUAAGUAAUGUGAAUUGCAGAAUUCAGUGAAUCAUCGAAUCUUUGAACGCAUCUUGCGCUCCUUGGUAUUCUGAGGAGCAUGCCUGUUUGAGUGCCAUUAAAUUCUCAACUACACUGACUUUGAAUUGGUGUGGCUUGGAUUUGGGGGGAAAAUUGUUGUGGGCUUUUUGUAUAGUCUGCUCCCCUGAAAUUGAUUAGCGGUACCUUUGUGGAACUGUCUACAGGUGUGAUAAUUAUCUACAUCUUAGACAUCUGCUGGAAUGCUGCUUUCUAAACCUUACUUGUAUUGACAAUCUUGACCUCAAAUCAGGUAGGACUACCCGCUGAACUUAAGCAUAUCAAUAAGCGGAGGA